rnacentral:rRNA from 1 species
UACGUAGGGGGCUAGCGUUGUCCGGAUUUAUUGGGCGUAAAGAGCGUGUAGGCGGCCAAGUAGGUCCGGUGUGAAAACUCGAGGCUUAACCUCGAGAUGUCAUCGGAAACCAUUUGGCUAGAGUCCGGAAGAGGAAAGUGGAAUUCCAGGUGUAGCGGUGAAAUGCGUAGAUAUCUGGAGGAAUACCGGUGGCGAAGGCGGCAUCCUGGACCGACAUUGACGCUGAACGGCGAAAGCUAGGGGAGCAAACGGG